UUUGUCCAGCUGAUCGUGAACAAAGAAAACACACGAUAAGAUGUGUGUUGCUGUUUUUUUUAUAUAUAUUAUUUUGUGGCACAUGAAACUACCUGGGAAAGUGCGCCUCCUCAUCUAAGUGUGGAGAUUUUUUUUGAUGCCCUCCUCCCCAACCAUAGGAUAAAAAACUAUACGGUCAUGAGUUGGCGUUCAUCUGGGGCUUGGUACACCUAUCUCCGCGCCCCGUCACUACCACGCAAAGGGGGCUGCACGUGGCUCGGCGCGUCUGUCAGAUGCUGGAGAUCGUGUAAGGACAAGGGGAUGCAACUUCGACCGUAGGGAUCCACAGCGGUCCUGGGAGACUGUUGCGUUGCUGUGCAAAAUCCGUGCAGCUGCGACCGCUUUCAGUGCGUGUUUGAGAAAGAAAGAGAGAGAGAGAGAGAGAGAGAGAGAGAGAGAGAGAGAGAGAGAGAGAGAGAGAGAGAGAGGAGGGGACCGACGACACCAUACCGCAGCUUCCUCUAUACUGUCAUCCAAGGCGCUAGUGAGGAGAUGCUGAGACAGGGAAGUGCUCGCUGCAAUUUUUUUUUCUUUCAUUUUAAAAUCUUGUGCACUGCAGACGCGUUUCUCUGGGUUCGAUCCCUGGACUUUGGGCUCUGGCCAUGCAAGGCUUCUCCUGAGAGAUCACUGGUAGAAACUUGCGUCCGAAUUCUGAAAGGAUCUCAAGCAGAGAUGCGGGAUUUAUACACUUUUAUGGCUUGAAUUAAGUGAAGUCGUACAGAAAUACUCGCACCUCAUCUGCAAGCCUGUAAGUGACAGACAGCCCACCGCCGGGGCCUGAGGAGCAGAGGUCAGCGACGGGGUCAGAUCAUCACUCUGACGUCAGAGGUAAAUCCCCAAAAACAAGGGUUCUGUGUCACCUCAACAUGAAGAUUCAACGAGCCUCUUCAGCGACGAAGCUUAUCUCAAGUCUGCUCACCCCCUCUUUCCAAAGUCACUACAACAGUUUUCAACCAAUUAAGCAGCUUGAGAAAAAGAAGAGGAGGAGGAGGAGGAGGAUGCAGCGGAGGAGGAAAAGAGAAGCAGAGUGGGUGGAAGAAUGGAAGAAGAGGAGGAUGGAAGCGGUUUGAGGAGGUGGUUCGAAGCCGGGGUGAACCCAGAGCAGGUGAACACAGCUGCGGAUCGCCAUGGGCUUUCUGUCUACUUCCUCUUGUGGGCCCGGUUGCUCUGUACCGGGGUCCCGCACACCCAGCAGGGGCCAGCCAAAAGCUGCAGCGAAGUGGGCAGGCUAGGCCAGGCAAGCCGGGAGAGAGGCAGGUGAGCCGGGUGAGCCGAGCUCUCGUUCCCGUCGGCAAGGAGCCUCCUCGGCAGAAUGGAGCAGCGCGGAGCAGCAGAAAUCAAUACCGAGGAGAGAGGCGGCCAGAGGUUGCCCAACACCGCCUGCAGGCCUCGCAGCUCAGGGACCAACCACCACCACCACUACUCCCAGCUCCUAUCUCCAGCUCUCCCUCUGUCUCUCUCCUGGAGACCCAGCACCAGCCAGGGCGCUAACCUUGCAGCCGCCCUAAUCCCAGCGUGUUCGCCUGAACAUGCACAUGUGUGCGCGGGAGAACAAAACGGAAAGAGAACGAAACUACGCUUGUGUGUGGUUCAGCUGGAUGUUUUUUUUUUUUUUUUUUAUCCCCAACUCUACUUGAUAAAACUUUUCAAAGACACACAGCCAAAUGGUUGAGAAAUGAAUGAGCCAUAACGCCGCGGUCCCCUUUCCUUCCAGCUCCCACGCUCCUAUUAGUCAUUCCGCCUUUUACCUUUUCUGAAUGAAGAUGCUACGCGGGACGUUACAGAUCAGAUGCUGUUUCCAAGCACGUAUAGCGCGCAGUAUUCCUAAGAUCUCAUGAGCCUGGAUGAAAGGACAAUUUGAACUUUUUCCUCUCAUCUACUGUAUCAGGCAGAAGCUGUCUUUUCACCUUAGAUUUUCUUACCCGCACAACAGCAGCUCCCAUCAGAGGAUAUGGCAGUGCAGUAUUGAUCCGUGAGGUGGAAGAGAGAAAGGCAGAUCUGGGCUUUCAUACCUCCUUUCCCUCGCCGUGUGUGUGUGUGUGUGUGUGGGGAGGUGAAGGAGGGAUGGUACCUGAGGACCACUUACUGCUCUGCAGCUAGGAUCUAGUGACAGCGCAGGUGAAUGACUGUUAAUUGAAUGAGAGUCCAAGGAAGAAGGAGCCCUAGUUGGGCAGACUUUUUUUUUCUCCUCUGCAUAUACAGAACAGUUUGAAGCUAAAUCUUUAAUCCCUAUAGGAAAAUAACAGCAGAGGAAAACCUUCACGUGUUGCCUGGAAGAAGAAUCUUCAAAAGAGAGUCCAUGCCUUACAUGUUUGAGGCCUGGAUGGACAUUCCUGGACAAAAUAAAAGUUUCCCGAAAACUUACAGAUAUAACCUUCUAAUUCACAUUUUUGAUGCAGUCUGUGGAUUGCCACCAUGAGGAUUAAAAAGGAGCCAUGCCUUGGAAAAGAAAGCGUAUCUACUUCCUGUAGCUAGUUACUUAAACAUGUUUAGCCUUGGCCAGAUUCCCAGCUGCAUGAUCAUUUCUGGCAGACAGCAAGGAGCUGCAAGGAGCUGCUCGAAAAGGUAAGUUUAAAGGUUGUGUAAAUUAGAUCUGCUGUGUCAGGUUUAUCGGCAUUUUUUUUUUUAGCAGCCAUGUCUGUAAUUUAUAGUCUGUUGUGUGUAAAAUUGUUCAGUAGGACGCUUUUCUAUUUUUCCCUUAAGAACAGCCUUUACAGAUACAGCACCUUCCACAUUUAAAGCCUCCCUUUUUUUUUCUGCAGUAGCACAAUCGCACACUAAAAAAAACUUAUUCCCAGUGAGCUUUGGAGAUUUUAAUUCACCUCCCUUACCAUCCUCUUCGCUUUGCCUGGUUGCAACAUAAAACUGGGUCCUCGUCCAGCCUGGUUUGUAGUUGUUCUGGUAGGUUUUUUUUUUUUGCAUUUUGUAUUAUUCCUCUCAAUCCAGAUAUGACAUGUUAACCCAGCUGGUAAUUUUUUUCUAAUCCUUUUCUGCCUUACUUGGGAUGUUUUCUUGUCUUUCUCAUUUCCAAGAGUGUAGAAAAUUACCUUUCACUUCAGCAAACGUUCCUUAGCACUCAAUCUAUAAAAGUAAUGUCUACUUUUAUAAAAAGUAGACACUUCAGUUGGGUUUAUUUUAAUAUGAUGGUGCCAAGAAUUGAUGUAGGGUCUUUUUUCAAAAUUUUAAAUAUUUUUCUUAAAUUAAACGUUUGAUUUUGUCCUUUUUUUCACUGUGAGAUUAUGCUAUUACCAAAAAAAGAAGGUGCUCAUAGUUGAGGGUGCUGUGUAUUCGUCAUUGUGAAAUACAUUUAUCUUAAUCCAGGGAUUACUGUCAAAAUAUUCUGAAAUUUCAAAUAAAACUGAUACAAAUGAGAAAUAAAA